AUUGAACGCUGGCGGCAGGCCUAACACAUGCAAGUCGAGCGGAGCGGCGGACGAGUGAGUAAUGCCUAGGAAUCUGCCUGGUAGUGGGGGACAACUUCCGGAAACGGGCGCUAAUACCGCAUACUAUCAGAUGAGCCUAGGUCGGAUUAGAUAGUUGGUGGGGCAAAGGACUACCAAGGUGACGAUCCGGAACUGGUCUGAGUGGAUGAUCCGCCACAAUGGAACUGAGACACGGUCCAGACUCCUACGGGAGGCAGCAGUGGGGAAUAUUGGACAAUUGGCGAAAGCCUGAUCCAGCCAUGCCGCGUGUGUGAAGAAGGUCUUCGGAUUGUAAAGCACUUUAAGUUGGGAGGCGUUACCAACAGAAUAAGCACCGGCUAACUUCGUGCCAGCAGCCGCGGUAAUUC
rnacentral:rRNA from 1 species